AUGGAGACAACAAUGACAACAGAAUUACCACAGAGAACUAGAAAAUGAAACUCAGCUGAAAAACGGCCACCUAAGAUGGAAGAAGCCAUGAGAUGAGUAAGCGUUGCCUACUCACAGGGUUGCAAACUGUCCUUCACUUACGAUUAUCCCCCAACGCCCCCUCCUAAAUCUGAUCAAUCGCAUGGAACUUGAUGGUUACAAAAGACAGAGCUAACAACUAGCUACCUUGCAGGAACGGGAACGUCAUUCUGAGGGUAGUCCACAUGCAAGUGUUCUAAGGUUGACAUCACUGCUUCAUCAUUCACCUCAUUUUCCCAGAACAGAAGCACCAAGAAAAUUAUCACCAUUAUUAUCAUCAGAGAUUAAGAAGCAGCAAUGCCCCUCUUGUGGCAAGAGUUGGCAGCGUGCGGUUGGUAUGUCAACGCAUCCAAGGUCCAAGGGCCUGGAUUGUCUGCCAAAUGCUUGGGAGUUGUUUGAUCAGGUUGACAUGCUCCAACAGCAUUGUGGACUGGGCCCACACCUACGCUGAGGUGACCAAUGUCUCCAACUGUUGGAUCUGCUCCACCUUCCAGCAGCAGCUGCGGAGAGUUUGCCCUGGAACGCGUAUCCUGCUUCUGUUAAGAACUGGACAUGGCUAGAAGCUUGGGGUCCCACGGACAAUGGGUGGGAUGCCACAGGGCGGGCUUUGGAUAGGAGGCAUCACAAAACCCAUGGCAAACCUGGCCCUUGGCUGACUCGUAGUGUCCAUGAUGGAUGGAGCUGGCUAAUGGGAGAACACGUGGUGCCCCCAUUGCAGGUAUCACAAUGUAUAGAGCAGCACUGGGGUAAAGUCACUGUGGGAUGGUUGCCUACUGAGGUUUGUGCAAACAUAACAUGUGUCACCACACCAAGGGUGCAGUGGAACAAGCGGCCUUACCAAGGCCAGGCCCCCAUGGACUUUGUGCCCCCUGGGAGUUUAUGGGUCUGUGGGGACACAGGAUGGCCAUAUCUCCCAGCCAACUGGACUGGACAUUGUACCUGGGGUUGGCCCUAUGUGCCUGCCAUUGGGCUUCCCACAUUGCCUAGUCGCCGCAUAACUGGGAGCCACUGUGUUCCUGCUUUUUCCCAGUGCAGCAGGCCCUCUAGUGGUUCUAUCCCUUAGCAAUGACUAUCCCUGGAGCAGGCGUCAUUACUAUAGAAAAGCAAGUUGCAGCCUUUGCAGACCACACAGCUCGGUCCCAAGUUGCCCUCCUUUUGUUAACUGAUGAAGUUGAUCAGAUCAGGAAGGUGGUGCUGCAAAACCAGAUGGCCUUAGACAUAGUCGCAGCUGCCCAAGGUGGCACCUGUGCCCUUGUAGGGACACAAUGUUGUACAUUUAUCCCUGACAACCACUGGAAUAUAAUGGCAGCUUCACAAGGGGUGUCAUAGGAGAUUAAGGUGAUUGAGCACCUUACUGAUGACCCCACGCAGAGAUGGUGGGCGUCUUUGGGAUCUGGCCUACAAUGGGCUCUCAUAAUCAUAGGUAGCAUAGCAGGAAUAUUAGUGGUAGGUUGUUGCUGUCUGUGUUGUUGCUGUGGCCUAUGGGUCCAGGGUGCUGCCACAUGUGCACGGGUCCCCACCAAGAGGAUUCCCUGGCCUAGUGGGUGGAGUGUAAGGAACAUGGCUGUGUGCAGCCAAGCAGGCAUAGGCCAAGGUAAACAGCCUAGAUGACUCAGUGGGAUUGGGGCGCAAGUGCACAGUCCCAUAUCUUAUAUAAUCAUAGCCAUGUAGGCACAACAUAAAGAAGCUCCCCACCUGGCUCUCAGUCACUAUCGUUUGUGUAGUGUAUAAAUGUAACACUGACCCUGCGAAGGGGCUGCUGAAUAAAGCCAUGUCUAAUUUA